UUGGCAGUUGAGAUUCAGACCUUGACAGUUGUAACCGAUAGACUGGGCUGGGGCAACGCUGAUGAAAGGCAAAUUCCUGAGAGAAAAAUCACCCAGAUUUUUCAGUGCCUUCUCUAGCUUUCUAGAAGUUGUUAUGAGUGGACCUGACUACCUAGAGAGAGUAAUACAGAAGCUCCGUGCCGAUCACAGCUACCUCAUUACCAUGUUCCUCCAAGAUGGCCGCCCCUGAGGAGAAUCAUCAACUGGGCUUUACGGAAGAGAGAAAUCCAAACGACCAUCAGCAACAAAUGAAAGACUGAAGUUGAAAGGAAAUCCAUAAUUUUUGAAUGCUGGCCGAGGUCUGUGACCUCUGACUGAAUGGUUUCCAAGCUCCGAAUUCCUAGGUGAUGUUUUCAUUUGUUCACACUUGCUGAAGAAGGGAAAGGCUCUCUGAUUUACGUGUAAGCAAAACAAUCUAAACAGUAGGAUAAAAUCAUGUUGGAAUGGAGUUCUGUGUGGAUGCUCCUUUGAACCAAAUCAGUUCCACAACUGACCCUGUCAGGGACAUAUAAAUUUAGCAUUUUGGUGUGGAUACAGAAGACGAGAUUAACACAGAUCAAGUAACAUGGAAAUAAAAAAGGAGACAAUGCUGGAUGAUACAGGGGCAGCCAACAAGAGGAGAAAACCCAAGCAUUGGCAAAUGCCUCAUUAUCCAAAGAACACUCCUUAUACUCCUGAGAAUUUGUGGCAGUCCUGGGUUAAACGAUGAAGGCUUCUUAUUCUCAUGUAGGUCUCACAGCCUCUUGUCUCCCUGAGUUUUAAACACAUUGCAUUACCUUUCCAGAGGGGCCUCAGAGUAUGUCAGCUGGGGUCAGACGGGAACAGGAGUCUGGCUCAACACACAUUUAUUGCACUCCUGUUUCAUGCCAAGAAAUGUACCAAAAUCUGGGACUGUGUAACACAGCAAAGGAAAAGACUCAUCUCCAGGAAGCCCCCUUGUCUAGGAAGAGAAAUUGAAUAUCAGCAUAAGGUGGUGAAAAGCUGUGAAGGAGAUGAGUGCCAGGAGUCCAUGGAGGAAGGAUUCUAGCCUGGACAGGUGAGGAAUGGCUUUCUGGAAGAAGCAGAUGCCCCAGCUGAACUUUAAAAUGCCCAUGUGAAAUGAACUGUCUGUAUCUUCAAUCAGCAAAUGGAGUAGGUGGCCACUGUUUAAUUCUGGAAUGGGGAAGUGUAAAGGUGUGGUGUGUGUGUUUACCCCUACUUAGGGAUUCAAAACAGACAGUAAAGAACAAAAGUCUAGCCCUUUGAGCAUUCUCCAUGGGACAUUUGAGGUCUAGCUGGCCCCAGAGAAAGAGAGACAGAAGCAAGGUCAUAUCCAUUUGAGAAAAUCAAAGUGUCUGCUCCAA
rnacentral:lncRNA from 1 species